rnacentral:misc_RNA from 1 species
ACCGUCACCCUCUCUCUCCUCUGCUUCGGUUCACGAAACCUCCAAAAUAAACCCAUUUUCUUUCCGGCAAAACACACCCAAACUCAUCAGACCUCUCGUCUCUCCUUUCUUCUCCACUCUUCACUUACCGAAAAGCCAUUGUCAGAUUUAACCAUUUUUUUUUGUCGAUGGCUCGCGCUAAACGCAAGUCCCCUGUUGUUGCUGCUGCUUCGUCAUCCUCAUCAGCCUCCGACGAU